UACAGGGGGUGCAAACGUUGCUCGGAAUCAUUGGGCGUAAAGCGCACGUAGGCGGUCUUUUAUGUCGGAUGUGAAAGCCCUUGGCUUAACUGAGGAAGUGCAUCCGAAACUGGCAGGCUAGAGUACUAAAGAGGGUCGCGGAAUUCCCGGUGUAGAGGUGAAAUUCGUAGAUAUCGGGAGGAACACCGGUGGCGAAGGCGGCGACCUGGGUAGAUACUGACGCUGAGGUGCGAAAGCGUGGGGAGCAAACAGG
rnacentral:rRNA from 1 species